GCGGGUGUAGUUCAGCGGUAGAACGUCAGCUUCCCAAGCUGAAUGUCGAGCGGCGCGGGUUCUCGGUGGCCGUGUACAACCGCA
rnacentral:tRNA from 1 species